AUUGAACGCUGGCGGCAGGCCUAACACAUGCAAGUCGAGCGGCAGCACGGAGCUUGCUCUUGGAUCCAGCGGCGGACGGGUGAGUAAUGCCUAGGAACCUGCCUGGUAGUGGGGGAUAACGUCCGGAAACGGGCGCUAAUACCGCAUACGACCUGAGGGAGAAAGCGGGGGAUCUUCGGACCUCACGCUAUCAGAUCAGCCUAGGUCGGAUUAGCUAGUUGGUGGGGUAAAGGCCUACCAAGGCGACGAUCCGUAACUGGUCUGAGAGGAUGAUCAGGCACACUGGAACUGGGACACGGGCCAGGCUCCUACGGGGGGCAGCAGGGGGGAAAAUUGGGCAAUGGGCGGAAGGCCUAUCCAGGCAAGGCGGGUGGGGGAAGAAAGUCUUUGGAGUGGAAAAGCCUUUUAGGUGGGAGGGAAAAGAGUAAGGUAAAACCUUCCUGUUUAGACGGGUACAAGAGAAAAAAGACCGGCUAACUUCGGG
rnacentral:rRNA from 1 species